GAGCUGCGCCAGCGAGUGCUUGCAGUACUCGUACGUGGCGAAGAAGCAGGCGUGCGCCGGGCCCGCGCCCAUCACCACCGCCGACAUGCCGCGGAUGGGCCUGCACAUAAUGUCGCUAGUUACUACACAUUGCACAUACAUCAUCACUGUGACUCAUGGGACCAAAAUGGACCAACAAAAGUGGAGAUGGAGCACACGAGUACACGAUGAGGUCCAACUAUUUCUAUAACAGUUCCUUGGGGGUACCCAAGAAAUAGGGGGGAGAUGGGAGGACGAGGUUCAGCUCACAGCCGGCCUUCAUUGGAGGAGAGUGGCUCGUAGGCUUAAGGAUUAGGGAAGGGUCUUAGGGAUAUGCCGUAACUGGCAUUGCACCGUGGGGGCUCCUGGACAGGUCAUUUUAAUAAAUUAUUUUAAAUUUUACGCAUUAUGCUAUUUACAACACUACCCUACUUCAGAUAAAACU